rnacentral:rRNA from 1 species
UGACGGUACCCUUUCGAAUAAGAGGUUGCUAACUCUGUGCCAGCAGCAGCGGUAAUACAGAGACCUCGAGCGUUAUCCGGAUUUACUGGGCGUAAAGCGUCUGUAGGGGGUUUGUUAAGUUCCAAGUAAAAUCUUAAGGCUCAACUUUAAGUUCGCUUGGAAAACUAAUAAACUGGAGUCCAGCAGAGGUGCAUGGAACUUGCGGUGUAGGAGUGAAAUCCGUUGAUAUCGCAAGGAACACCAAAGGCGAAGGCAUUGCACUGGGCUGGUACUGGCCCUGAGAGACGAAAGCGUGGGGAGCAAAACGGAUUAGAUACCCGUGUAGUCCACGCCGUAAACGAUGGAUACUAGAUGUUCGGGGAUUCGACCCCCUGGGUGUCACAGCUAACGCGUUAAGUAUCCCGCCUGGGAAGUACGGCCGCAAGGCUAAAACUCAAAGGAAUAGACGGGGAUCCGCACAAGCGGUGGAGCGUCUGGUUUAAUUUGAUAGUAAGCAAUGGACCUCACCAAGGUUUGACACCCUAUGACAACCCUGGAAACAGGGCUUCCUUCGGGCAUAGUGACAGGUGCUGCAUGGUCGUCGUCAGUUCGUGCCGUGAGGUGUUCCGUUAAGUCGGGAAACGAACGAAACCCUCGUCGCAUGUUACAAAUUUCAUGCGAGACUGCCCGGGUCAACCGGGAGGAAGGCGGGGAUGACGUCAGAUCAGCAUGGCCCUUAUACCUUGGGCUACACAGGCGCUACAAUGGCCGGUACAAAGGGUUGCAAAACCGCGAGGUGAAGCUAAUCCCAUAAAGCCGGUCCAAGUUCGGAUUGGAGGCUGCAACUCGCCUCCAUGAAGUUGGAAUCGCUAGUAAUCGUGGAUCAGCCAUACCACGGUGAUACGUUCCCGGAUCUUGUACUCACCGCCCGUCACACCAAGAGAGUUGGUAGCUCCUGAAGCGUCGCAUUAG